rnacentral:rRNA from 1 species
UACGUAGGGUGCGAGCGUUGCCCGGAUUUAUUGGGCGUAAAGGGCGCGUAGGCGGCUCUGCACGUCCGUUGUGAAAUCGCCCGGCUCAACUGGGCGGGGUCAGCGGAUACGGCGGAGCUUGAGCAAGCUAGGGGGCAAUGGAAUUCCCGGUGUAGUGGUGGAAUGCGUAGAUAUCAGGAGGAACACCAGUGGCGAAGGCGGCGACCUGGACGGACAUUGACGCUGAGACGCGAAAGCGUGGGGAGCAAACAGG